rnacentral:tRNA from 1 species
CAAAAUGUAGCUUAAAUUUAAAGCAUUCAGUUUACACCUGAAAAAGUCCCACCAUCGGACCAUUUUGA